AGCCAGAGAAAUUUGAAUUGCGCUUGGCGCAGCCUGUGGCCGGACUGUGUGGCACCAAGUGACUCUGAUGCACCAGAGUCAACAGUGGUGCAGGACAUUGUUGCCUUGGGGAGGACCAUGGGCCUGGAGGUCACAGAGGAGGACGUCUGCGAGCUGGUGGAGGAGCACGACCACGAGCUGACCACCCAGGAGCUGGUCGAACUGCAGGCAGAGGCUGCGCAGGAGCAGGCCUCGCUGGAAGAGGAGGAAGCAACUGAGGAACGGCUGUCCUCCAAAGAACUGAGGGACAUUUGCAUGAAGUGGAAGGAUGUGCAGGCUUUUGCACAGCGGCACCACCCUAACAAGCACGUGGCACAUGACCUUGCGAACACUUUUGAUACGACGGUCAUGUUGCCUUUCAGGGAGGUGCUGUAAAGGCGGAUGAAGCAGCAGACCAUGGACAGGUUCUUCAGCAAGAAGCAAAGAGUGGAAGAGGAACCUUCUUCGAGUGGUCCCCCGAGUCUUAGAAAAUGUACUGUACACUUUGUUGAUUUUUAAAUGUUUUUCUGUCAUGUUUAGAAACUUAAUUUAUUGUUCCUUCAAUUUUUGAAAUGCUCUUUACAGUAUGUGUGACUUUAAAGAGCACUUAAUAAACUCUUGUUGUACC